rnacentral:rRNA from 1 species
UAGGCGUAAAUGAUGCGAGUUAAGUGUGGGGGCGAUCUACGAGAUGGCCCUCGUGCUGUAGGGUAGCCGUUAAACUACGCUGCCUGGGGAGGUACGGUCGCAAGGCUGAAACUUAAAGGAAUUGGCGGGGGGAGGCACCACAAGAGGUGGAGGCUGCGGUUCAAUUGGACUCAACGCCGGAAACUACAUCGGGAGGCGACAGCAGUAUGAUUGCCAGGUUGAUGACCUUGCUUGACAAGCUGAGAGGUGGUGCAUGGCGUAGACGUCU